UUUUCUUUUUCUUUUUCUUUUUCUAGCAAUUUUUUACAAUUCUUUGGUUUAAAUGACUUUGUGAGGGUCACCUAUACCGGAGUUGCCUUUUUGCUUUCUUUUAUUUUUUUGUUUUGCUGGAUCAUUCACUUAUUUGCAUCGGUCCUUUUGGUUUAAAUGACUUUGUGAGGGUCACCUAUACCGGAGUUGCCUUUUUGCUUUCUUUUAUUUUUUUGUUUUGCUGGAUCAUUCACUUAUUUGCAUCGGUCCCCUACAUAGAGGAUGCGUAGGCCGGAGCUGACUGCUGAGAUAAACUACUGAGGACUUAUACGGAAAUGAUGAUUAAGGUCAUGGUAUAUGGGGUUU
rnacentral:lncRNA from 1 species